GACGAACGCUGGCGGCGUGCUUAACACAUGCAAGUCGAACGGAAAGGCCCUGCUUUUGUGGGGUGCUCGAGUGGCGAACGGGUGAGUAACACGCGAGUAACCUGCCCUUGACUUUGGGAUAACUUCAGGAAACUGGGGCUAAUACCGGAUAGGAGCUCCUGCUGCAUGGUGGGGGUUGGAAAGUUUCGGCGGUUGGGGAUGGACUCGCGGCUUAUCAGCUUGUUGGUGAGGUAGUGGCUUACCAAGGCUUUGACGGAUAGCCGGCCUGAGAGGGUGACCGGCCACAUUGGGACUGAGAUACGGCCCAGACUCCUACGGGAGGCAGCAGUGGGGAAUAUUGCGCAAUGGGCGGAAGCCUGAUGCAGCAACGCCGCGUGCGGGAUGACGGCCUUCGGGUUGUAAACCGCUUUCGACUGUGACGAAGCGUGAGUGACGGUAAUGGGUAAAGAAGCACCGGCUAACUACGUG
rnacentral:rRNA from 1 species